CGUUCGCGUGUCCGUAUAAGUGCAAGUGCAAGUGCAAGUGUACAGUAAUUCGGUUCGAUAAUUGAGCCGCUGGAUCACAUCCUCCAAAAAAACAGUUGCCGACCGGUUCGGAACGCCCGCAGGAAUGCGAGGAACGAUAUGGCCCCUCCAUUGUUCGUGGAAUAGCAACGAAAUAUCUCUACACACACACACAUCGUGUUCGCCGUCGUCAUUCGUCGACUAACUAACCUACGAUGCGGAAAGAGGAACAAUGGCGGCACGGCGCUCACCGGAUUAUUUGCACGAGCGCCAGCCGCCAUUUCCGCAAUCCCUUGCAGAGGUGAGUCGAAUCAAUAUAAUUCUAUAAAAUCUGAUUCGUCGAGUGAAAUUGAAUUCUCACUCCGUACGCAGCGGACGAAGUUUCAGGAUUUAUCUCGGUAGAAAAUAUCUUCGAAGGAUCAAAGAAUUUCCCAAUCCGACGAACUACACGAAAUGUCACAGUAGCUGCUUCUAUAUGGCAUUCUCAGCGAUCAAUCGCAUGCGGUGAAAUUCCGACCCACUGGAUAUAGAAUCUAAUCGAGGAAAAUUUCUUACUUAAAAUCGGUAUUAAGGUAGAGAACGGUCAUUAAAACCGAUACUGGUAUGCGAAAUUGUUUUUGUUUUCUUGUUUGUUUGUUUUUUUUUUUUUUGUUUUCGUUUCAUGCAACAGGUGGUUAGUAACUACAGCCCGUACAUUAGGGAGAAAAAUACAAAUUGUUCACCCCGGUACGGGCGAGCAGCUCGAUAAAUUUAUAAAACUUAUACUCUAACCUUGUGGUUCUACUUUGUACUUUUGUCAGUCAGAAUAAAUGGCCGAGCGAAAUACAUUCCGAAUAACGAUAAAAUAAAAGAAAAAAUCAAUAAAUAAAUAAAUGAAUGAAAAUAAUCGGACGACGAGCGUAUAGUUAGGAUCGCAUUCCAUAAAAAGAUGAAGAUAUCGGAUGUCUGGUACGUAUAUAAAUUUUGAUUGUUUGAGCGAAGUUUCUUCUGCUGCAGAUUCAAAGAUUUGCCGAACAUGAUAUCGUCUGAAAAUCCUUGAAUGUUGCAACGAAUAUAUAAAUUCCCUUGUAUAGAGUUCACCGGCAGUUCCGUCUGCGGACUGUAAUAUACGUAGGUAUACAGGGAUAUAUAUAUAUGCAAGAAUUGCCGGCAUUUUUUUCCAUUUUCUUUUAUUUUUUCAUUUAAUUGAUCGUACAUAAUUAAACGUAUUUUUAUCCACACCUGGCGCGUUAUGUUCGGAAUAAAUGAGCCUGG
rnacentral:misc_RNA from 1 species